UAACUCCGUGCCAGCAGCCGCGGUAAUACGGAGGGUGCAAGCGUUAAUCGGAAUUACUGGGCGUAAAGCGCGCUCCUGUGGCUAAGUCAGCCAUGUGUGAAAGCCCCGGGCUCAACCUGGGAACGGCAUCUGUAACUGCUUGGCUAUAGUGCAGGACAGGAAAGUAGAAUUCCCGGUGUAUCGGUGAAAUGCGUAGAGAUCGGGAGGAAUACCAUUGGCGAAGGCGGCCUUCUGGACUGACACUGACACUGAGGUGCGAAAGCGCGGCUAGCACACAGGAUUAGAUACCCUGGUAUUCCACGCCGUAAACGAUGUCAACUAGCCGUUGGGUCCCUUGAGGACUUAGUGGAGCAGCUAACGCAAUAAGUUGACCGCCUGGGGAGUACGUCCGCAAGAUUAA
rnacentral:rRNA from 1 species